UACAGAGAGUGCGAACGUUGUUCGGAAUUACUGGGCGUAAAGCGCACGUAGGCGGACCAUCAAGUUGGGGGUGAAAUCCCGGGGCUCAACCCCGGAACUGCCUCCAAGACUGCUGGUCUGGAGGUCGAGAGAGGUGAGUGGAAUUCCGAGUGUAGAGGUGAAAUUCGUAGAUAUUCGGAGGAACACCAGUGGCGAAGGCGGCUCGCUGGCUCGAUACUGACGCUGAGGUGCGAAAGCGUGGGGAGCAAACAGG
rnacentral:rRNA from 1 species